UUUCACGUUAGAAAGGGGAGAGGUAAGACUCAAGAUCAGGCUACGGUUCAUUUGCAGUAUAUUAGAAUUGGAGUCAUGCUUCAAUUUUGAACCACACCAAUCAAUGACCAAAGUUGGAAAAUCAGCCACCAGACUUGCAGAUAAGCGCAUCUGAUGACCACUAGUUGUGAUGUUGGUGGAUAACCAGGAGGUGUUUGCAGUCAGUCAGCUUGCCAGCGAUUUCAGUUGAAGGAAAAGUUGAACAAGAAGGUCUUUCAUGGAUUCCAUGACCUCCUCUGUCUUCAGAGUGUAUAUGAUGGGAUUCAGCAUAGAUGGUAUUACCUGUCUCAAAGAGUUGUUAAAUAUUCGUGUGUUUGGAUCAA
rnacentral:lncRNA from 1 species